UCUGCUGUAGUUCAGUGGUUAGAAUGGAGGGUCCAAAGCUAGCGUGGCGGACUCAGGUCGGCGGUUCGAAUCCGUCCAGCAGCA